rnacentral:rRNA from 1 species
AGCGAACGCUGGCGGCAGGCCUAACACAUGCAAGUCGAACGAUCCUUCGGGAUAGUGGCGGACGGGUGAGUAACACGUGGGAACGUGCCCUUUGGUUCGGAAUAACUCAGGGAAACUUGAGCUAAUACCGGAUGUGCCCUUCGGGGGAAAGAUUUAUCGCCAUUGGAGCGGCCCGCGUUGGAUUAGCUAGUUGGUGGGGUAAGGGCCCACCAAGGCUACGAUCCAUAGCUGGUCUGAGAGGAUGAUCAGCCACACUGGGACUGAGACACGGCCCAGACUCCUACGGGAGGCAGCAGUGGGGUAUCUUGCGCAAUGGGCGAAAGCCUGACGCAGCCAUGCUGUGUGAAUGAUGAAGGUCUUAGAAAUGUAAAAUUCUUUCACCGGGGACGAUAUUGACGGUACCCGAGGAACAAGCACCGGCUAUCUCCGUGCCAGCCGCCGCCGUAACAC